rnacentral:rRNA from 1 species
GACGAACGCUGGCGGCGUGCCUAAUACAUGCAAGUCGAACGCUUCUUUCCUCCCGAGUGCUUGCCCUCAAUUGGAAAGAGGAGUGGCGGACGGGUGAGUAACACGUGGGUAACCUACCCAUCAGAGGGGGAUAACACUUGGAAACAGGUGCUAAUACCGCAUAACAGUUUAUGCCGCAUGGCAUAAGAGUGAAAGGCGCUUUCGGGUGUCGCUGAUGGAUGGACCCGCGGUGCAUUAGCUAGUUGGUGAGGUAACGGCUCACCAAGGCCACGAUGCAUAGCCGACCUGAGAGGGUGAUCGGCCACACUGGGGCUGAGACACGGCCCAGACUCCUACGGGAGGCAGCAGUAGGGAAUCUUCGGCAAUGGACGAAAGUCUGACCGAGCAACGCCGCGUGAGUGAAGAAGGUGUUCGGAUCGUAAAACUCUGUUGUUAGAGAAGAACAAGGACGUUAGUAACUGAACGUCCCCUGACGGUAUCUAACCAGAAAGCCACGGCUAACUACGUG